AAUAGAUACCCAGGUAGUCCACGCCGUAAACGAUGAGUGCUAAGUGUUGGGGGGUUUCCGCCCCUCAGUGCUGCAGCUAACGCAUUAAGCACUCCGCCUGGGGAGUACGGUCGCAAGACUGAAACUCAAAGGAAUUGACGGGGGCCCGCACAAGCGGUGGAGCAUGUGGUUUAAUUCGAAGCAACGCGAAGAACCUUACCAGGUCUUGACAUCCCGGUGACCACUAUGGAGACAUAGUUUCCCCUUCGGGGGCAACGGUGACAGGUGGUGCAUGGUUGUCGUCAGCUCGUGUCGUGAGAUGUUGGGUUAAGUCCCGCAACGAGCGCAACCCUUAUUCUUAGUUGCCAUCAUUCAGUUGGGCACUCUAAGGAGACUGCCGGUGAUAAACCGGAGGAAGGUGGGGAUGACGUCAAAUCAUCAUGCCCCUUAUGACCUGGGCUACACACGUGCUACAAUGGACGGUACAAACGGUUGCCAACCCGCGAGGGGGAGCUAAUCCGAUAAAACCGCUCUCAGUUCGGAUUGUAGGCUGCAACUCGCCUAC
rnacentral:rRNA from 1 species